rnacentral:rRNA from 1 species
UACGAAGGGGGCUAGCGUUGCUCGGAAUCACUGGGCGUAAAGGGUGCGUAGGCGGGUCUUUAAGUCAGGGGUGAAAUCCUGGAGCUCAACUCCAGAACUGCCUUUGAUACUGAAGAUCUUGAGUCUGGGAGAGGUGAGUGGAACUGCGAGUGUAGAGGUGAAAUUCGUAGAUAUUCGCAAGAACACCAGUGGCGAAGGCGGCUCACUGGCCCGAUACUGACGCUGAGGUGCGAAAGCCAGGGGAGCAAAGCGGG